GACGAACGCUGGCGGCGUGCUUAACACAUGCAAGUCGAACGAAGUGGCGAACGGGUGAGUAACGCGUAAUCAACCUGCCCUUCAGAGGGGGACAACAGUUGGAAACGACUGCUAAUCCCGCAUACUGAAGGAGGGGAUUGCGUCGGAUUGGCUGGUUGGAGGGGGAACGGCCCACCAAGGCGAUGAUCAGUAGCCGGUCUGGGAGGGUGAGCGGCCACAUUGGGACUGAGACACGGCCCAGACUCCUACGGGAGGCAGCAGUGGGGAAUCUUCCGCAAUGGACGAAAGUCUGACGGAGCAACGCCGCGUGAGUGAUGACGGCCUUCGGGUUGUAAAGCUCUGUUAAUCGGGACGCGGUACCGGAAUAGAAAGCCACGGCUAACUACGUGCCAGCAGCCGCGGUAAUAC
rnacentral:rRNA from 1 species